rnacentral:rRNA from 1 species
CUCGUAGGCGGCUUGUCGCGUCUGCUGUGAAAACCCGAGGCUCAACCUCGGGCCUGCAGUGGGUACGGGCAGGCUAGAGUGCGGUAGGGGAGAUUGGAAUUCCUGGUGUAGCGGUGGAAUGCGCAGAUAUCAGGAGGAACACCGAUGGCGAAGGCAGAUCUCUGGGCCGCUACUGACGCUGAGGAGCGAAAGCAUGGGGAGCGAACA